GUUGGCCGGAGGGAGCCGAAUCUCUUCCGGAAGUAGCCGAUCUCUGGGGUCUCGCUCUCCGACCUGAGUCGAGGGCCGGGCCUUGUUCUCCGGAUCGGCCGAAGGUGUUCCGGAAGGAGGCGAACCCCGAGGCGGGCAGGGCAAGCCUUCCCCGCGGCCGGCAGAGCCCAACAUCUGGUGGGGCUCGGCGAGCGGGGAGGGGGGAGCCGGAGCCUGGCUCCGGUCCGGCGGGAGCCGAGCUCGUUCCGGAAGAGGCCGAGCGGACCGGCGCUGGCCUCGGCGUCCCGGGCUUGAGGUGGUAGCGGCGGCGGCGACAGCGCGGGCCGGGAUGAACCGCGACGGCUGAGGCGGCGGAGGUGCCGGCUGCGCGGCCCCGACCGAGACUUCCGCGAAGCGCCAGCCCCGCGCUUGGGGCUUCGCUUCGAGCCGAGCCCUGCCCCCGCGAGCCUCCCGGACCCCUUUGUGCGUCCAGAGGCGGCGGCGGGAACGGCCAUGGCGGCCAACAUGUACCGGGUGGGGGAUUAUGUCUAUUUUGAAAAUUCUUCUAGCAAUCCUUACCUGGUUAGACGGAUUGAGGAGCUCAACAAGACUGCAAAUGGAAACGUGGAGGCAAAGGUUGUGUGCCUUUUCCGGCGAAGGGACAUUUCUAGUAGCCUCAACAGCCUGGCUGAUAGCAAUGCCA